rnacentral:rRNA from 1 species
AGUGAACGCUGGCGGCAGGCCUAAUACAUGCAAGUCGAACGGCAGCACAGUGGAGCUUGCUCCAUGGGUGGCGAGUGGCGGACGGGUGAGGAAUACAUGGGAAUCUGCCCAGUCGUGGGGAUAACGUAUGGAAACGUACGCUAAUACCGCAUGCGCCCUUCGGGGGAAAGUCGGGGACCGCAAGGCCUGACGCGAUUGGAUGAGCCCAUGUUCGAUUAGCUAGUUGGCGGGUAACGGCCCACCAAGGCGACGAUCGGAUAGCUGGUCUGAGAGGAUGAUCAGCCACACUGGAACUGAGACACGGUCCAGACUCCUACGGGAGGCAGCAGUAGGGAAUAUUGGACAAUGGGCGCAAGCCUGAUCCAGCCAUGCCGCGUGAGUGAAGAAGGCCCUCGGGUUGUAAAGCUCUUUGUUGGGAAGAAAAGCAGUUGGUUAAUACCGAUUGUUCUGACGGUACCCAAAGAAUAAGCACCGGCUAACUUCGUGCCAGCAGCCG